rnacentral:rRNA from 1 species
UACGUAGGGGGCAAGCGUUAUCCGGAUUUACUGGGUGUAAAGGGAGCGCAGGUGGCAUGGCAAGCCAGAAGUGAAAACCCGGGGCUUAACCCCGCGGAUUGCUUUUGGAACUGUCAGGCUGGAGUGCAGGAGGGGCAGGCGGAAUUCCUGGUGUAGCGGUGAAAUGCGUAGAUAUCAGGAGGAACACCGGUGGCGAAGGCGGCCUGCUGGACUGUAACUGACACUGAGGCUCGAAAGCGUGGGGAGCA